rnacentral:lncRNA from 1 species
GAGAAUAAAACCACCAUAGCUGCCUAUGUUUCUUGUUUAGAUUAUAAUACUACCAGCUCUUUUAUCCUUUUCUCUGUCAAUCGUGUUUUAAACAUUGCUGCAGCUAUAAGCCACACCUUUGAUUUCACUGAGGGAAACUAUGCUACACUUUGGCAGGACAAGUUCUUGCAUGAUGUGCACAAACAUUGCAGAAGUCCAGAGUACUUUUUAUGUCGACUCUGAUAUCUUUCCAUGAAAAAAACCUGUACGGCAGCAGUGCAUGAGUAUUCAUGAAAAUGUUUAAGGAAUUUGGUGAACAAAUGUCAGAUUAUGGCAUUAGCAGCUUGCUGAGUAGGUUUGUUAGUGUUUUUCCAUUUGUAUGAAUUCAGCCAAAUGCGGCAUGCAGAGGGAGUAGGAAGACCUCUACUAGGUGCAAACUCAGAGUAUUCCUCUUUUGCGAACUUGCAAGCCAUUCACAGCAUUGACACUGGUUACCGCGGUAACCCUCUGAUUCCCGGAGUUCCCUGGCUCACGAGAGGACUUCAUACAGCCUGCACCCAGCAGAGGUGCAGAGUGAAACACUGGAUCUGAAUAUUCCAUCCCCUGAACUAUGUAGGCAAGGUUGGGAGAGCAUAAAAUGUAAUAUUAAUUAAUAUCCAUAAUUUGCUCUCUCACCCUUAAGGGACCACUAUAGACACCCAGACCACUUCAGCUUAAUGAAGUGGUCUGGGUGCCAGGUCCAUCUAGGUUUAUCCCUGCCUGCUAUGUUUACUAAUGGGUUAAUCCAGCCUCUAGUGGCUGUCUCAUUGACAGCCGUUAGAGGCGCUUCCGCGCUUCUCACUGUGAUUUUCCUAUGAGACCUGCUGAAUGUGCGAUGACGGCAGAAGAAGGAGGAGAUUUCCCAGCGCCGAGGGAGCCCGGCGCUGGAAAAAGGUAGGAAUUUAACCCACUUCCUCACCCUAGAGCCUGGCGGGAGUGGGACCCAGAGGGUGAGGGGGACCCAAGGACCCUAUAGAGCCAGGAAAACGAGUAUGUUUUCCUGGCACUAUAGUGGUCCUUUAAACCAUCUCACCCCCCACACAUUACAUGCCAAUACACACUUCAUUCCUUAUACACACUACAUACCCUAUACCCCUAAACUCUCUACAGCUACACACACCCUACAGCCCCUAUACACACACAUUGCAUUCCCCUUAUAAACAUGACAUUCCCUAUACAUACAUACAUACAUACACUACAUCCUCUAAAAAGACACAUACCUUCUCAUCCCCCUAUGAGCCCACACACACAGUACUUCUCAUAUACACUCACACACACUUUACAGCCUCAAGACACACAUGUAAACACACAUACACUACAUAUCCUAGAGCCCCCACAUGCAAACACUACAGCCCCAUACAAUCACACACACACACUCUCUACAGUCCCUAGACAUCUAUGGACACACUAUAUCCCCUAAAAACACAGUGCAUCAUCUAGACAUAUACUCUGAGCUCACACACACUACAUCCUGUACAUGCACACACAUCAUCCUCAUACAAAAUAGAAUACUGGCCUCCUACCUGCCUUCUGUUCCUUGACACUUUUAUUAUGUGUGUCCCAGCACAAACCCAUAGGCUUGCAGUGGAUGAGGGGUAAGGAGAGGGGUAAGAGGGAAGUUAAGAGAAAAAAAGGGGUAUAGGGGUAUGAGGCACACAAUGGGUACCAUUUAUAAGGGAAAAACAGUGUCCUCCGCAUUCCCUAUCUCUAUGCUCAUUUAAAAUUUUGUAAGUUAUGGCAAAUGGGGGGGGGGGAGAUUCCAUGGAGUCAAUACAGAUGCGUAUGAUGAAUAGUUACUGAGGACAAUUUGUGUUAUUCACCUAUUAUAGAAAAAAAAAGAAACUGUACAAGAGAUCAUAUAGAAAUUAUGACAUUUUUAAAAAGGAAGUUAAUUACUUGAGUUUUUAUUUUUCAAAACACAUUUUUCUUUUGAUGUGUUUCCAUCCUGACUUUCCAAUGUUUCCAUUUUAUCAUUUUUUUUCCAUUUAAUACAGAUUCACAUGAAGAAUUAUGUCCCCAAGUAACUGAAAUAGAAAUGCAAACUGCCCAACGUUAACAUCAAAAUGUAAUAAAUGGAACUAUUUUUUUUUCUUUUUCUAAGUAAUACAACAAAACCAAGAACAAUAAUAAUAUCAAAGUAUUUAACCAGGCAGAUGUGAAGUACAUUUGUAACUUAUUGCAAUUCUAAUACCCUAUACAUCCUGGAUUAAAAAUACAAAGGCUGAUUUGUAUAAAACUAGCAAAAAUAAACCAUUCCUUGGGGCACAUGUGAAAGCUUUGAAAAAUGUCUAUAAUAGCUGCAGGAACUGCUGGGCGAGUGGAAGAUUAUGCAGGCUGGUAGAAUCCUGUUUUAGCUCUCCAGCCCUUGUAAGUCAAAAUAUUAUUUCUAUAGCACCAGCAUCUACUGCAGCGCUGUACAAUGGGGAUAUAUACAAAUCAACAAACACGUUUAAGGGAAUAGCAUGGUUUGUUGAGGAAGGCCCUGUUCCAAUGAGCUUCCAAUCUAAACUAAACACAAAUUGUGUAUUUUUAUAGAUAUGUAUAGACUUAAUGGCUUUUCCGUUAUCACUGAAAUGCUAGUUAUUGCUUCUGUCGUACAAGAGUUAUGGCAUGUUACAAAACAGUCUUGUUCAUGACUUGCUGCCCUACCUACACCAUUCUCUGAAUACUCCAAUAUACGCUAGCUCCAUUAAAUUACUGAUGGCUCCUUUACUUCCCAGUGUUAUAUGGGUAAAUGUAUCCAAGAUCACAGUACAUAUUGUCUCUGGGUUAUUCCGUCUAAGCAGUCAGGAAUGUAAAGUAUUUCAAAGUUUAGACCAAAGUAGUUGAAUUAAAUACACUAGCUGAGUUGGAGAUUUCAAACUUCGACUAGUUUGGCUUAAAAUCUGAAUCUCACUUUUGAUUUUCCAACUUUUCACUACCAGUAUAGCUCCUAAAUAUUGUAGCAAACUGGCUGUUGUGGAAAUCUACUUAUAAAUAUUUCGAUUUUUACCGUGUAUAUAAAGUGAACAAUGGCACUUAGAACAAUUACAGCUUUAAUAACCUAUUUUGAUUUGGAAAUUGUAUCCACAAAAUGCCUCAAAGCACUCUAAGACAUGAAUUUAACUGUAUCAGAAGUUAAUUUAUAGAUUGCAUUAUUACCUGACCUAAAGUUAUUAAAGGGACAAUCCAGCCCCUGAAAGCACUUCUGCUUGCUGAAGUAUUUCAUGUGUGACGAAUGUGUCCUCUUCUUUUCAUUUUAUGAAAAGUACAGAUUUCAAUAUAAAUUUGCACUUUUAUAAAUUAAGUUUGUUACACCCCCCUUGGCUGUCAAUCAAAAAGGUCCAUUGCUCAGAGCACCUGCCUUGAGCUGCAUUGGGAAGUCUGUGAUUGGACAACCACAGAAAGUCUGUGUUGGGUAAGAAGGGGAGAGCUUGCAAAGGCAGGGAACAAGAGAACUACAGCUUUUUCAAGCUAUUUUUAGAUAUACCCCGAAGUGAAAAAUGCACAAUUAAAUGCAUGCAUGUUUUCAUUUAAAGUAUAUCUACUAAACAGUGAUUUAAAAAAAAAAAAUGUAUUUGGGCAGUGGAAUGUCCCUUAAAAAGCAGGUAUCUAUACAUGAUGUUAGUAAGCUCACCAACAAACACAUAGUUUAAUAGAUACUUCCGUAAACUUUAUAUUUAAUAAUAAUUGUGAGGGGUCAGCUACACCCGCUGAUGUGCAAGGUAUUCCACAAUGCAUAGUGUGCAAAUGAUUUUGGGGUGGCGCCAAAACAUCUAUCGGCAAAAGGCUAUGGUUUCUUUUUUCCUGUGUCAAAAAGGUUCAUUACUAGAACUAUAUUAAUAGGUAUACUAGCUAAAUAACUUUAUUUUUAUACACCUCUAAGUGCAAGGUAUAAAUGAAUUUAGCAGCACUACAAAUGGGACUGUUGGGAAAUGUUCUUUAAACUGUAUUUUAACAAACCCAGGAAACAAAAUGUACGUUUUAACAGGUAUCGUUUCUGUUACUUUAACAACUUAACUGUUGCAGUGCUUCAUCAUCAUCAUUCAUUGUGAAGUUUACUAUUAAGUAAAUAAAGGCAUGUGUCUUAAUGGGCUUAUACUAGACAGAAUUCAUUUUAAUUAUUCCAUUAGCUUCUAACAUGUCUCCCAACCACCUCGAUUUUGGCAGGACAAUCCCGAGUUUUGUGUCUUCUCACUGCUUUUGAAGUGCUCCCUGCAAAUCCUGCCCUCAGUCGGCUGGCCUGUUUGAUUGGCAGACAACCUGGCAUGCUAACCUGUUCCGCCCACUUUCAGGAUGUCUGCCCCCUUUUGAGCACAGCCAGUGAUGGUAUCGUGUCACUCGCUGCCUCUCUACUCCCUCCCACCAAUAUGGGGGGUAUGUUCUAACACUGUAUUUCAUGGUAGUAUGGAUCCCUAACUAUAAUAACAAUUCCUGCCGGAUAAGUGCGUGCUAACCAUUCGUUUUAAUAUUAACGCUUACCUAAACAUAUCUAAUGAUAGCUGUCAUUUGCUUUAGCCAUGCUGCCAAGAAGCUAACAUGUUCUUCGCAGCUGUAUGUAUAUAUGUGCAAAAAAUUGAUACUGUUACGGAACGUGUAAAAUUGGACCUGGAGGUUUAUGCCCUAAUUUUCAGCUGAAGACCUAUUAAAGGAACACUAUAGCGUUAGGAAUACAAAUAUGCAUUCCUAAUGCUAUAGAGCCCUAGUCACUGUUUAGGUUAAUUAACCAUUUAUUUGCUUACCUUAACCCCUUAAGGACACAUGACAUGUGUGACAUGUCAUGAUUCCCUUUUAUUCCAGAAGUUUGGUCCUUAAGGGGUUAAUCCAGCGCCAGGCUAGCUCGGCACUGGUGACCUCUCCUCCCCCAUAACCGUCAGUUCCUGAGCGCGCGCGCAUUCAAACUGGCCCAUAGGAAAGCAUUACUCAAUGCUUUCCUAUGGGGAUCUUUUUGUCCUCACGGACCUCCAGCGUCAAAUAAGUUCGAUUUACUCAGUGUAAAUUGCGGAAGCGCCUAUAGUGGCUGUCAGGGAAACAGCCUUUAGAGGCUGGAUUAACCCUGCAGUGUAAACAUAGUAGGUCUCUGAAACUGCUAUGUUUUCAGCUGCAGGGUUAAAACUAGGGGGACUUGGCACCAAGAGCACUUCAUUGAGCUAAAGUGAUCUGGGUGCCUAUAGUGGUCCUUUAAAGAGGUCUCUGCAGUUAUUAGCAAUGCAAGAUGAACACUGCUAUCCACAAGCUCACACACAACAUCUAAUACCAGUUAUGUGCAUUGCUAAUGUAAAUGUACUAAAGCAUUGUGAGUUAUAAAGUGCAGUAAGUAUCUGCACACACCUAAAGGAGCAGAUCAGUGAUGCAGAAUCCAAGGUUCUCUGAGAUCAGAUCAGUGAUGCAGAAUCCAAGGUUCUCUGAGAUCAGAAAAAGGCUUAGCAAUUACACCAACUAUUUUACAUAGCUACAUGGUGCAAGAGAGAGUACUUGAAAAGAAAGUACCUAUAACAGUUUAAUUAUUGCUACUACAGGACAACUAAGGUAGCCACUAAGAUAAUAAAAAACAUCUACUAACACAAUAUUAUGGUGGAGAUUAUAAUGUCAGGAUUCUUUAAAAAAAAAAAAAAAAACAGUUUCAGAAAACAUUUAUUUUCUAAUUUUGUGGUUUAUGAUCCAGCUAUAGUUACACAUUUGCUUGUAUCUUGUGCUUAGUAAAUAAUGUUUUUUUAAAACAAACUUUGGAAUUCUGAACCAGUCUAGCAUUUUAAGAACACACUUUUUCCAGCUAGUGCAGAUAUUGUCAAGAUAGUUUUGGGUGAAAAUUACCUCCCUCCUCAUUUUGAGGACAAGAAAUGAGUUAUAAAAAUAUAUUCGAAAAAGAAAAGGACAUUUUAUCAUUAUUAU